UCCGCAAUGGUCCAGUGGCUAGGAUCCGGCGCUCUCACCGUCGUGGCCGGGGUUCGAUUCCCCGUUGCGGAA
rfam:Linderina pennispora strain ATCC 12442 DL89scaffold_3, whole genome shotgun sequence.